rnacentral:rRNA from 1 species
CUCAGGGGUAAACCUGCGAAACUCGAAUGAACGAACGGGGAGAUUCAUCGUUAUUCCGCGGCGUGACGGUGCACACUCGAUACGGACGGCUCGCCGUGCUGUACGGUGUGUGCCGUUCUACGUUCGUGGACGGCGUGCACUUCUCCCUUAGUAAUACAUCGCGACCCGUUCGAUGUCGGUCUAAGCGCCGUUCGGGAGUCACGCUCGUCCCUUCGGGGCGCGGGUGCGACCGUGACGGUUGCCGACCGGCUGUCGGACGGUAUCAUGACGGAUCUCGUACGCGUUUACGCGCGUCCGGCCCGACGCAAGGCUACGUCGUUCAUUUCCGUUCUGCCUUUGUGCGAGCGGAGGUGCGGCGCGCCUGUCGUCGCAGCCGUGCUGUCUCGGACUGUACGUGUACCG